UACGAAGGGGGCUAGCGUUGUUCGGAAUCACUGGGCGUAAAGCGCACGUAGGCGGACUUUCAAGUCAGGGGUGAAAUCCCGGGGCUCAACCUCGGAACUGCCUUUGAUACUGUUGGUCUUGAAUCCGGUAGAGGUGGGUGGAAUUCCUAGUGUAGAGGUGAAAUUCGUAGAUAUUAGGAAGAACACCGGUGGCGAAGGCGGCCCACUGGACCGGUAUUGACGCUGAGGUGCGAAAGCGUGGGGAGCAAACAGG
rnacentral:rRNA from 1 species